UCGCUAAUUCCGGGCAUUAUCCGGGUCACGCUUCAAGAGAUAAGUAUCGAUUUUAUGUUCGAUUAAAAUCUAUAAUUAUGUGUUGUCUAUAUUACAUAAAAGUGAUCCUAACUAUUUACUUCCGCUAUUCCUUUCUUUGUUACAAUUGAAUUGAUGAUUGGUUUAAUUUAGUUGUAUAGUGGAACGUUUCUGGUCAAUUAUGCAAACAAUGGGU
rnacentral:lncRNA from 1 species